UAUUAAGACAUACAUUGGUAACUAAAAUAAUAUUUGCUGCCCACCUUGUCAACUGGCAAUGGGGAACAAAAAUGGCAAAACACACUGCACUUACAGUACAGUGGCAGUAAAGUAAUAGCAAUAUCACAACGACAGCCAGCUGAGCAGGAGGAUCCCUUUGAUUUCAGACUGAAAUCGCUUUUUCUGUGAUAGCUUGACUACUUUGACUACAUAUCGCCACCUGUUCUGCAGCACCGAACCUGACAUUUGCUAUGUAUUAGCACCAACAGAAACGUUUCUACUGACCAAAUCAUAAGGACUCAUUGAACACCAGCAUCAAGAAUCCAGCCAAAGAGAAGCAAAGUUCUACCGCCAAUUUGUGUGAAUAGUGAGUCAAGUCAAGAGUGCUUGUCAUGCGUGCUGAAGAACAGAACAGCAGCAUAACAGAUGGAUGGCGAAAUAAACUACAAAGAUGAAAAUGGAAAGAAAAUACAAAAAUAAGUCCCACCAGAGGUUAACAUAGCAGAUGAGAGAAUAGUUUUCAGCUCUGAACUAAAUCACGUGCAACAAAGCAAGUCUGAAGUAUUUUAAAUUUAGUGCAUAAUUUUCCAUACUGAUGAGCUUUAGAUGUGAUUGCUGCCAAUGAUUCCUGCAGAGAGAAGUGCACUAAAUUGUUCAAAGCAAAUUGUGCAUCCACAUUACAUCAUUUUUUGUUACUUUCAGCCUGUACCUUAAAUUCAUACUGAUAUUAAACAGACUGUGUAUGCCGUUUUGA